AUGCAUCGCUGACAGACCUGGAGAAGCUAAUGUCUGCUGCUAAAGUUUGCACUACAGAUGCACGAAGAAGGUCCUGGCACUUUCUGUCUGGUUGUGCCAGCCAAGAUUGAAUGGGGGAAUACAGGG
rnacentral:snoRNA from 1 species